rnacentral:rRNA from 1 species
GAAUGGCAUCACGAGGGCUUAACUGUCUCCCCUCCCCAGUCAAUGAAAUUGAUCUCCCCGUGCAGAAGCGGGGAUAAUACCAUAAGACGAGAAGACCCUAUGGAGCUUUAGACGUCAGAGCAGCCCAUGUAAAGCACCCCUUAACAAAGGAAAAAACCAAAUGAAGCCUGCCCUAAUGUCUUUGGUUGGGGCGACCGCGGGGAAAUACAAAACCCCCAUGUGGAGUAGGAAUACACAUUCCUAAACCCAAGAGCUCCCGCUCUAAUGAACAGAAAUUCUGACCAAUAAGAUCCGGCACACGCCGAUCAACGGACCGAGUUACCCUAGGGAUAACAGCGCAAUCCCCUUAAAGAGCCCUUAUCGACAAGGGGGUUUACGACCUCGAUGUUGGAUCAGGACAUCCUAAUGGUGCAGCCGCUAUUAAGGGUUCGUUUGUUC